UUUUCCCCCCAAUCUUUCCCUCCCUCUCUCCAUCUCCUCCCUCAACCCCACCGACCGCCACCCACGAGCCGGCCACCGUCGUCCACCAGCUACCACCGCCACCGGACGUUCAGCUCCAUCUUCGGAUCUCCGGCCAAAAGUCUUAAACCCAUCGUCGUCGCCUUCGGGAGCUUCCAGAAUGAGGGCUUGCUAUCCACCGACACCACAGCCAGUGAAGCCGAGUUCGGCUUCUCUCGCCCUGACUUUUGGAGGAGCCAACUCGCCGGGACCGUCGAGUUCUACCAGCGCCACGUCUUCCUUUACUACAAGAACCCCAAGGUCUAGCCCCCCAGAAUCGAGUCCUCCGAGUUCGAUCGCGUGCCGAGGCUGCUCUCCGCUGCUGUGAUGCCCAUGAAGGCCGAUAUGAAAAAAGAGGCGUGUUAAUGCCAAUCUAUAUGCUUUAGGUGCUCUGGUACAUUGAACUUGGAGGUGCUGAUCCACGGGAAAGAAGAAAAGAUAUGCUGUUGUGUUGUGUUGUGAAUGUGGAAAAAGUUUUUACUUUGUGUCAUCUUUUGAAACUAUGUGCUUGUUGAAUAGCCUGAGCUUUUAGGCAAGUGAGCUUGUAAGCAAGUUUGAUGUUUGAAUCGUUGUUAGGAGGAAGAUAAAGAUUAUCCUUAUCUUGCAGCUGGAAAUGUUCACAAUUGUAAUUUUUAUUUGCUGCAUAGACGCAUGGAUGUAAGCUUAUUGCAUAGAUGCAUGGAUGCAAGCUUUUGAUGUCUUAUAUCUCACUUAUAAGCAUAGAGGCAUGGAUGUAAGCUUUUGAUGUCCAGCUCAUCUUAAUAUAUAUAAUUUG